UACGUAGGGUGCGAGCGUUAAUCGGAAUUACUGGGCGUAAAGCGCGCGUAGGUGGUUCAGUCAGUCAGAUGUGAAAGCCCCGGGCUCAACCUGGGAAUUGCACCUGAUACUGCUGAGCUAGAGUACGGUAGAGGGUAGUGGAAUUUCCGGUGUAGCGGUGAAAUGCGUAGAGAUCGGAAGGAACACCAGUGGCGAAGGCGACUACCUGGACCGAUACUGACACUGAGGUGCGAAAGCGUGGGUAGCAAACAGG
rnacentral:rRNA from 1 species